rnacentral:tRNA from 1 species
AGGGAUAUAGCCCAGUGGGAGAGCAUGUGCUUAGUAUGCACAAGGUCCUGGGUUUAAUUCCCAGUACCUCCA